GUGAGGAAUAUUGGUCAAUGGGCGGGAGCCUGAACCAGCCAAGUCGCGUGAAGGAAGAAGGAUCUAUGGUUCGUAAACUUCUUUUGCAGGGGAAUAAAGUGCAGGACGUGUCCUGUUUUGUAUGUACCCUGAGAAUAAGGAUCGGCUAACUCCGUGCCAGCAGCCGCGGUAAUACGGAGGAUCCGAGCGUUAUUCGGCUUUAUUGGGUUUAAAGGGUGCGUAGGUGGUUUGAUAAGUCAGCGGUGAAAGUUUGCAGCUUAACUGUAAAAAUGCCGUUGAAACUGUCGGACUUGAGUGUAAAUGAGGUAGGCGGAAUGCGUGGUGUAGCGGUGAAAUGCAUAGAUAUCACGCAGAACUCCGAUUGCGAAGGCAGCUUACUAAGCUACAACUGACACUGAAGCACGAAAGCGUGGGGAUCAAACAGGAUUAGAAACCCUAGUAGUCC
rnacentral:rRNA from 1 species